rnacentral:misc_RNA from 1 species
GAUGAAGAACGUAGUGAAAUGCGAUAACUAAUGUGAAUUGCAGAAUUCAGUGAAUCAUCGAGUCUUUGAACGCACAUUGCGCCCCCUGGUAUUCCGGGGGGCAUGCCUGUCCGAGCGUCAUUGCUGCCCUCAAGCACGGCUUGUGUGUUGGGCUCCGUCCCCCCGGGGACGGGCCCGAAAGGCAGCGGCAGCACCGAGUCCGGUCCUCGAGCGUAUGGGGCUUUGUCACCCGCUCUGUAGGCCCGGCCGGCGCCAGCCGACAACCCAUCAUCCUUUUCAGGUUGACCUCGGAUCAGGUAGGGAUACCCGCUGAACUUAAGCAUAUCAAUAAGCGGAGGA